GACGAACGCUGGCGGCGUGCUUAACACAUGCAAGUCGAACGGAAAGGCCCUGCUUUUGUGGGGUGCUCGAGUGGCGAACGGGUGAGUAACACGUGAGUAACCUGCCCUUGACUUUGGGAUAACUUCAGGAAACUGGGGCUAAUACCGGAUAGGAGCUCCUGCUGCAUGGUGGGGGUUGGAAAGUUUCGGCGGUUGGGGAUGGACUCGCGGCUUAUCAGCUUGUUGGUGGGGUAGUGGCUUACCAAGGCUUUGACGGGUAGCCGGCCUGAGAGGGUGACCGGCCACAUGGGGACUGAGAUACGGCCCAGACGCCUACGGGAGGCAGAAGUGGGGAAUAUUGCACAAUGGGCGGAAGCCUGAUGCAGCAACGCCGCGUGCGGGAUGACGGCCUUCGGGUUGUAAACCGCUUUCGCCUGUGACGAAGCGUGAGUGACGGUAAUGGGUAAAGAAGCACCGGCUAACUACGUG
rnacentral:rRNA from 1 species